CUUUCUCAUUAUACGUACUAUGAAACAGCAAAUUGAGGAAGGGAAAGCGAAUCGGUUCUUCACAAGGACUUGUAAUGUGAACGUACAACAGCAAAGCCACAUUGGACUAUCUGCUGUGUCCAAAGUUAGAGAAUCGAUCUCCGGAUUUAGCGUUGGAAGUCCGUAGAUUUACCACUGUCCUAAAGGAGCAAUUGUGAAAAGCACACGCCGGCAAAUUUCCUCAUUCUUCUGUUGCUUCUUUUCAUCGUGUGUUCAAGCAGCUACGCGUCCAUUGAGACCACUUUGUGCUGACGUGUAACUUACUGUUCUAGAGUUAUUAGAAGAAGAGAGACUGGACGGUGUUACUGAUCAGGUUCCCAGAAACCUCAUACCCAAGGAUUUUAUAUCAAAAUCAUUAACCACACUGACAAAGAAUGGUUGUUCUUGGAGAGUUAUCAGAUACCUGGCAAAAUACAUACUGACUUCAGAACCUCUCAAGUAAUUGAAUCAGGUUUAUUGGUAAAAAAGGAAACGUUUGGGUACGUUUGGCCUAUUCUUUUCUUUUAAGGGAUGCUGGACUGGCAAUUGGAUAAAAAAAGGCUUCGCACAAAACAUCAGGUACUUUACCUAUGUUCAUAACUUUGGAAUAUUCGUUUCUAUCUAGUGAUGUAGGCAUAGGGAAACCCUGAUAAGCAAAACUUCAGUU